rnacentral:lncRNA from 1 species
AAGAAUAAAGAACAAAGAGUAAAGUGAAAAGAACUAAAGAACAUGCAUAACCUGCAUCUAUUAAUGUUGAGCAUAUUCCUUGCUUUUGUUCAGGCAUAUUAGCAUCAUGUUAUAGAUUGGUUACCAUAUUUCAGCUUAUCCUUACUAUUAUGCCUGAGUUAGUCCUAGUGGGAAAGUCGGUGAUGUUGAGGCCGAACCCACUGGGAACUUUGUUGUAGUUCUCACCCCACUAUUUCCACAGAGCCGGGACCGAGCGAGCCGGCGAGCGACCGAGGUAAAGGUAUCGCGCCUUAGUCAGAGGCCACCAGAGUUGGGUUACAUUUUGUUAGUAGACACCCUUUUAUCAUCUUUUGUACUUGAUGAUUAGUGAUGUAAAGAAAAGAAUGCAAAGCUUAUUUUGAGGUAAAUGUGUUGUAAGAAAGAAAUGAUGAGAUUAUGUAAGAACAGCAAAGAAUCUUAAAUGUAAAAGAUGGAUGCAAUGUAUAUGAUCUAAAAUGAAUCAUAUUACUUGUGAAUGUUUAGUUUUCCUUUCUUUCACUGAUGGCUAUUGCUUACCCUCGCGUAAGCCGUUUGUGUAUGUUUCCGCUAGUGCUUUUCUCUAUUGAUGAAAAUGUACAUGUGAUGAGCCUUGGGCGGAUAGGGAAAACUCUGUCCGUCCGGCGUCUGUUUGACGCGCUCGGGUCGGGCCAAAUUGGCAGCGGUCCCGGGGCGUGACAGAUAGGUUGGUAUCAGAGCCAAUAGUGAAAGAAUAGGAAUGGACCUAGAGACCUAUAGGAUUGGAAGGCCUUAAGGAUCUAGGAAACGUGAGUGACGUGGGAUCAAGUUAGCGAAAGCAUGUGAUUGGGUUAAGUUGGAACGUCUCUAAUGUGAUUAGAGGCUAGGUUUAAUUUUCGUUUAUCCUCUACUUCUAGUGUUGUGUCGGGCGGCCGACGACAUGACGCUUGAGGCAAGGAUGAAUAUGCAUGUUGCUUUCGCCUAAUUGGGUAUGGUCAAGUAAUGUUGGUCAAGUGACUAAUGUGAGUUGCUUCUUUUCAGGAAGCAAUGGCACCUCGACGUCGAUCGCAGACAAGGUCGAUGCCGGAGGAAGCGAAUGCGGUGCCCGAGCAAUCCGGAGCAAGUGACGACGGAGAGCUCAGGGAGCAAAUGGCCGCGCUUAUUGGCGUAGUGCGGCAACAAGCGGAGUCUGUUCAACGCCAAGGGGAACAGAUUCAGCGCAUCUCCAGGAGACCUUGGAGCGCCAGCAGGCGGCGGCGGCCCAGGCGGACGACGAGCAUGUCGCGCCCCCUGCGGUAGUGCCGAGCGUGGACGAGGGAGCGGCGGCAGCGGCGGCUGUCCCAGUCACGGUAGUACCGGCCGGGUCGGGAACGUCGAAUCCCGAUAGCGCGGCAGUUGAAUGCGGAGCGAGAGCGCACUUUGGCGGCGCUUAUACAGUUCAAGAAGUUCGAUCCCACCUACCUUCGAGGGCGGUUUGGUGGAGCCGGCGGUUGUGGAGUCGUGGAUCGACUCGAUGGAGACCCUAUUCGAGGACCUUAAUACCUCGGAGAAGGAUAAAGUGUAUCCUCGCCACCCAUUAUCUAGGGAAGGCGUCGAAAGGUGUGGUGGAAGCGAGUUAAGCGGGAUCGACCUACCGAUCUCCCGCUCAUGCUUUGGGAAGAGUUCAAGAGAGCGGUGUUCGUGAACUACUUCCCCGACACGGUGAAGCGGAAGCUACAAGAAAAGUUUCCGCAAGUUGAGACAGGGUGAUCGAUCGGUGGGGGAGUAUGAGCAGGAAUUCUCCCACAUUAUUGACUUGCGUUCCCGACGUUGUUCGUGAUGAUCGGGACCGGGCGGAUUGGUUCUUGCGAGGACUUCAGCCCCGAAUUUAUGAAAAGGUGCAGAUUCUGAAGUUGUCGACCUUUGCGGAGGUCUUCGAUAGAGCCCUUUGUGGGCGGAGCACGGUAGCGCCCAUGUACGUGAAGAACGAGAAGCUAUUGCCGAGACCAAGGACAAGGACAAGAAGAGAACGGCGGGCUGGUGCCGGGGGCCGGCCAAAUGCUAAGAAACCCCCUCGGUAUCCCCGACAGCAGCGAGGAAUUGGAGACCGCCUCGAUGUGUUAUAUGUGGCGGUGAGCACAAGGUGUCGACUUGCCCGCAGCGAGACGGCAAAUGUUUCAAGUGCGGCCAACCGGGACACCUGUCAUCCGGGAGUGCCCGUUGUGGACGUCGUCUGCGCCGACGGCGACAUUCAGCACCGUCUACCCCGAGACAGCUUGCGGGGCUUACCACCAGCGAUGUCGGCUGGGCGCGCGUCAUCACCGCGUCAGCCGGAGGGAUCGAGAGCGCCUAGCGGCCGAGUCUUUGCAGCUCAGGUGGAGGAGCAACAACCUGCAGCACCCGACGACGUCGUGGCAGGUAUAAUUGUGAUUAAAGGCACUAGAGCUAGAGCAGUGUUUGAUACAGGCGCAUCUCAUUCAUUCAUUAGCACUUCAUUUGCUAAGACACAUGGCAUAGAGAUGGUGUACAAUGAGGAUUACUGGUGGGUGAACGCUCCAGAGCAUUCAUUCAGUGUCCAUAAUGAGUGUUUGGCGUGUCCAGUGCAAAUAGGCGAUUGGAUUAUGCCGAUUGAUCUGCUAGUGCUAGAUCAGAUGUGGGGAUUCGAUGUUAUCUUGGGGACCAACUGGCUCUCCAAGUACUAUGCGGUGAUAGAUUGUGAAAGUAAGGUGAUCACUUUUCGUGAGCCUAAUCAAGAGGAGUUAGUCUACCAAGCGUGCAAAAGUAGGCGCUUCGCGGCGACUAUAUCGUCAGUAAGGGCGAAGAAAAUGAUCAAAGGAGGGUGUAAGGCCUAUUUGGCAACCAUGGUGGAUGCUCGAAGGGAGUACCCAGACCUUGGGAAGAUAUCCGAGUAGUGUGCGAGUACCCGGAUGUGUUUCCGGCGGAGUUACCGGGACUGCCACCGGACCGGAAAGUUGAGUUUGUCAUUGACUUGAUUCCCGGGGCGGAACCAGUUUCGAAGGCUCCGUAUAGAAUGGCACCGGUGGAGUUAAAGGAGCUAAAAGGUCAACUACAAGACUUGCUCGAUAAAGGCUUCGUGAGACCGAGUGUGUCACCGUGGGGAGCUCCGGUGCUAUUUGUGAAGAAAAAGGAUGGCACACUUCGACUCUGCGUAGAUUAUCGCGAGUUAAACAAAGUAACGAUAAAGAACAAGUACCCGUUGCCAAGGAUUGAUGAUCUGUUCGAUCAGUUGCAAGGGUCCAAGGUGUAUUCGAAGAUUGAUCUCCAAUCGGGGUAUCAUCAAUUAAAGAUCAGGCCGAAAGAUGUGCACAAAACAGCGUACCGUACGCGGUAUGGCCAUUAUGAGUUUACGGUAAUGCCGUUUGGGCUUACCAAUGCCCCGGCAGCAUUUAUGGACUUGAUGAAUCGAGUCUUUAGACCGUUGUUGGAUCGAUGCGUCGUGGUGUUUAUUGACGACGUCUUGGUUUAUUCAAAGAGUGAGGAGGAGCACGAAGAGCAUCUGAGAGCGGUGUUGCAGAUACUCAGACAAGAGAAGCUCUAUGCAAAGUUAAAGAAGUGUGACUUCUGGCUAAAGGAGGUCACAUUCUUGGGUCAUGUGGUAUCGGGCGACGGAGUUUCGGUAGACCCGAAGAAAGUAGAGGCGAUCAAGGAUUGGCCUCGCCCGACGAGUGUAGCGGAGGUCCGCAGUUUUCUUGGACUGGCGGGCUACUACCGGCGGUUCGUGGAGGGGUUCGCCAAAAUAAUCACUCCACUAACGCGCCUCACGCAUAAAGGAGUAAAGUACGUGUGGAGCGACGAUUGCGAUCGAAGCUUCGAGGAGUUAAAGAACAGAUUGACGUCGACCCCGGUGCUUGCCUUGCCGACUCCGGGGGAGACCUUUGUAGUGUACAGUGAUGCCUCGUAUGUUGGUCUCGGGUGUGUAUUAAUGCAAAAUGGGCGAGUUAUUGCUUAUGCAUCGCGCCAAUUAAAGAGCUACGAGAAGAACUACCCGAUUCACGACCUCGAGUUAGCUGCGGUGAUUUUCGCGCUAAAGCUGUGGAGGCAUUACUUGUAUGGUGAACAUUGUGAGGUGUAUACCGAUCACAAGAGCCUGAAGUAUUUGUUCACCCAGAGGGAGUUGAACAUGCGACAGCGGCGGUGGUUAGAGUUGCUGAAGGACUAUGAUGUCACCAUAUUAUACCACCCGGGAAAAGCCAAUGUCGUGGCCGAUGCCUUGAGUAGAAAGUCGGCGGAGAACUUAGCGACGGCAAUUACGCCUCAACCGCUAUUACAAAAGGAAAUGCAACGAUUCGGGUUGGAAGUGGUAGCGCCGGGAGUGCCGGCUACACUUGCCACAUUGGUUGUGCAACCGACCCUGUUGGAAAGAAUCAAAGAGUUACAAACCUCGGAUCCUUAUCUCCAAAAGGUUCGAGAUGAUGUUGAGAACGGUAAAGCCGAAGACUUUGGCGUUGGAGCUGAUGGCGCACUUCGAUUCCGAGAUCGAUGGUGUGUGCCUAAAGAUGAUGAGUUGCGAGGGGCGAUCAUGCAGGAAGCACAUCAAUCUCCCUAUAGUAUACACCCCGGCGGCACUAAAAUGUACAAGGAUUUGAAAGAGCACUAUUGGUGGCCGGGUAUGAAAAGAGAUAUUGGGGAGUUCGUGGCGCAAUGUUUAACGUGCCAACAAGUUAAAGCUGAGCGCCGAUUUCCGGCGGGAAAGCUACAAAGUCUACCGAUACCCGUUUGGAAAUGGGAAAACAUAGCAAUGGACUUUGUUACAGGUUUGCCUCGAUCGCAAGGCGGACAUGAUGCGAUAUGGGUGAUAGUGGAUCGAUUGACAAAGUCGGCACACUUCUUGCCGAUACAUACUACGUGGUCGGGAGACAAGCUAGCGCAAGUUUAUCUCGACGAGGUUGUGAGACUUCAUGGGGUUCCAGUGUCGAUCGUGUCGGAUCGCGACCCCAGGUUCACAUCCCACUUUUGGAAAAGUUUGCAAGACGCGCUAGGCACGCGGCUCGAUUUUAGCACGGCGUUUCAUCCUCAGAGUGAUGGACAAUCAGAGCGAACGAUACAAAUCCUUGAGGAUUUACUUCGAGCGUGUGUGCUAGAUUACAAAGGAGGAUGGCAUGAUUUCUUGCCUAUGGCGGAGUUCGCCUACAAUAAUAGCUACCAAGAGAGCAUAGCAAUGGCGCCUUUUGAGGCACUAUAUGGACGUAAGUGUCGUUCUCCUAUUCAUUGGAGCGACGUGGGCGAGAAAGCGGCUCUUGGCCCGGAUGUAGUGCGGGAGGCGGAAGAGAAAGUUCGCCUUGCCCGUCAACGGUUGGCGAUGGCGCAAUCUCGGCAAAAGAGUUAUGCCGACAAGCGAAGAAAGGAUUUAGAGUUCGCGGUUGGAGACCGUGUAUUCUUGAGAGUAUCGCCGAUGCGAGGAGUUAAACGAUUUGGGGUCCGUGGGAAGCUAAGUCCCCGAUAUGUCGGACCAUUUGAGAUAUUAGAGCGUGUGGGUGCGGUGGCGUAUAAGCUCGCAUUACCACCGAGACUCGCGGGAGUUCAUAAUGUAUUUCUUGUGUCGAAUCUUCGAAAGUAUAUCCGAAACCCGACACAUGUAUUGGAGUAUGAGCCCGUGGAGCUACGUGAGGAUAUGACCUACGAGGAGUACCCGGUGUGCAUCCUCGAUAGAGAAGUGAAAAAGUUGCGAAGUCGCAAAAUCCCUUAUGUGAAAGUCCAGUGGAGCAACCAUGAUGUGCGAGAAGCCACUUGGGAGCUCGAGGAGUCAAUGCGGAAAGAAUAUCCGCAUCUAUUUGAGUCGACGAGUUAAGGUAUGCGUAAUUUCGCGGACGAAAUUAUUUUAAGGGGUGGAGAAUGUAAUAUACCGAAAAUUCGGAAAAUAAAUAUCGAACUUUAGUCAAAUUGACCAAAGUACGAGAAUGGUGCACUUCGGAAAGUCCGAAGGUGUUAAAAUGAUCGAAAGUGAGUUACGGGAGGUUUUCGAGAGCUAGAGAAUCAAAUUCUGCAAAACUGCAGUUUUUGAGCUCUCGGGGACCGGUCCCUGGUGGGAGAGACCGGUCCCCGAACGCGUGCAGAAUGAGACAGCCGAAAAAUCGGCUAAGUCCUGGAAGAUCAGCUCUCGGGAACCGGUCUCUGUCUGAGAGACCGGUCCCCCAGAGACCGGUCCCAUAAGGAGAGACCGGACCCAUCGCGCGCAGCUGCUCUGGCUGCGCUGGGAGAGCUCUCGGAGACCGGUCCCUAGUCGGGGAGACCGGUCCCCGAGCCCGAAAACUGCCCAGUCCAGGCAGUUGCAAUAGAUGAAAGUUGAGGGGUUUAUUAGCAUUUUUGCCACCCAAUGGUUAUGUAAGGGGGCUGAAAGGGCCUUUCUCUCAUUCCACUCCCUCUCACACUCUCUCCUCUCUUUCUCUCUCUAGAAGACAAAGAAGGAGAAGAAGAAGAAGGAGAAGAAGACAAAGAAGGAGAAGAAGGUGAAGAAGAAGCUUUUGGAGCAAAGGAGCCUCAUCUUCUUCCUCUCUAGGGCAAGAAAGGAAAGCUUACAAGGUAAGCUUUGAUCUAUAUUGUAGAAAAACCCUAGAAUGAGUUUUGAAUAACCUAGAAAUGGGUUUUAAUGGGAUAUUUGAAGAGUUUUGAAGCUUUCUUUUGGUUCUUUAGAGAUCAAAUCCAUGGUUGAGCUCAAGGUGAGCUUCAACCCACCUCUAAUGGUGAAAUCCAAACUAGGGUUUUGGAAAGCCUAAGAAUGAUUCUAAUGGGCUAUUUAGAGUAUAAUGAAGCUACUUUUGCUUCCCAAUGAGAUCAAACCCUAGGUUUUGAUAUACAUUGGAGCUAGGGCACCCAAAUUGGGGCUUUUGCUCAUGAAGGUUUCUAAGUGCAAUUGACCCUCUAAAAACCUAAUUGGGGGUAUUUCCGACGCGUUGGUGCGCUCGGAAUAGCAUUUCGAAAAGUGUAUGAAAAGUUAUGGGCAAAAUGGCCUAAUAAGGGUUCGUUUUGCCGCAGGUAAAGAACGAGGCAUCUAAAAAUUCUAAGAAAAUCAUCGGAGCACCUAAAGAGACCUACAAGGUGGGUGGUGCUUCUCAAACUCAUUGAAAUUCUCUCUAUGCCUAAUGUGUCAUUCUUUGAGCAUAUGUUAUAUGUAUUGUUGCAUGCAUUUUAGGGUAAAGUAAUGAUGAAAUGUGAUGAUUGCAUAAUUGUGAGCACAACUUGCAUAAUGAGAUGGUUGAGAACCUAAUAAUGUCAAAACCCUAUAUGUAUGCAUGAGAGAAAAGUGAGCACCCAAAGUGAGCAAAAGAACAGAGUGGCACAAUGACAUAGAUCGAGUGGCAUUCAAUAAAGCUAAUGUGAAAUGACACUAGAGUUAGUGUGAUGUAAAGAAUUAAAGUGAUGUAAAGAAUGAUGAAAAUAACGACGAGUAAAGCUAAAGUAAAGUGGGCAAUAAGAACAAGAAUGCUAGAGUUAGCAAAAGUAAAAGAAAUGCAAAGAACAAUGAUUGCUAGAGUUAGCAAGAGUAAUGAGAAUGUAAAGAAUGUGAUUGCAUGAGUUUGCAACAUAAAGUGAUGUAAAGAACACUAGAGCUAGUGUAAAGUCAAGAUUGAACUAUAAUCCUUUGAGUUAAGGAUAUGAUCAUACUUGCUGUUGAGUUCCGUGCUCGAGGGCGGUCGCUCCCCCUCGGGCGAUGCGCUCCGGAGUUAUGCAUCCGGGUUGGAGUAGACCCGAAAGGACGGUCCUAGCUGGUGAGUACCUGCGAUGAUGGACUUAGCGUGAGGCAAGUUAAUGUGGCGAAACCCCCGGGUUAGCCUUAAUGAUUAAAGAGCAAAGAACAAAGAAUAAAGAACAAAGAGUAAAGUGAAAAGAACUAAAGAACAUGCAUAACCUGCAUCUAUUAAUGUUGAGCAUAUUCCUUGCUUUUGUUCAGGCAUAUUAGCAUCAUGUUAUAGAUUGGUUACCAUAUUUCAGCUUAUCCUUUCUAUUAUGCCUGAGUUAGUCCUAGUGGGAAAGUCGGUGAUGUUGAGGCCGAACCCACUGGGAACUUUGUUGUAGUUCUCACCCCACUAUUUCCACAGAGCCGGGACCGAGCGAGCCGGCGAGCGACCGAGGUAAAGGUAUCGCGCCUUAGUCAGAGGCCACCAGAGUUGGGUUACAUUUUGUUAGUAGACACCCUUUUAUCAUCUUUUGUACUUGAUGAUUAGUGAUGUAAAGAAAAGAAUGCAAAGCUUAUUUUGAGGUAAAUGUGUUGUAAGAAAGAAAUGAUGAGAUUAUGUAAGAACAGCAAAGAAUCUUAAAUGUAAGAGAUGGAUGCAAUGUAUAUGAUCUAAAAUGAAUCAUAUUACUUGUGAAUGUUUAGUUUUCCUUUCUUUCACUGAUGGCUAUUGCUUACCCUCGCGUAAGCCGUUUGUGUAUGUUUCCGCUAGUGCUUUUCUCUAUUGAUGAAAAUGUACAUGUGAUGAGCCUUGGGCGGAUAGGGGAAACUCUGUCCGUCCGGCGUCUGUUUGACGUGCUCGGAUCGGGCCAAAUUGGCAGCGGUCCCGGGGCGUGACA